rnacentral:rRNA from 1 species
UAUUAACUCUGGCGGCGUGCCUAAUACAUGCAAGUCGAGCGAACAGAUGAGGAGCUUGCUCCUCUGACGUUAGCGGCGGACGGGUGAGUAACACGUGGAUAACCUACCUAUAAGACUGGGAUAACUUCGGGAAACCGGAGCUAAUACCGGAUAAUAUAUUGAACCGCAUGGUUCAAUAGUGAAAGACGGUUUUGCUGUCACUUAUAGAUGGAUCCGCGCCGCAUUAGCUAGUUGGUAAGGUAACGGCUUACCAAGGCAACGAUGCGUAGCCGACCUGAGAGGGUGAUCGGCCACACUGGAACUGAGACACGGUCCAGACUCCUACGGGAGGCAGCAGUAGGGAAUCUUCCGCAAUGGGCGAAAGCCUGACGGAGCAACGCCGCGUGAGUGAUGAAGGUCUUCGGAUCGUAAAACUCUGUUAUUAGGGAAGAACAAAUGUGUAAGUAACUAUGCACGUCUUGACGGUACCUAAUCAGAAAGCCACGGCUAACUACGUG